CAGCAACAGGUGAGCUGAGAGCUCAAGUUCUGGGAGGGAAAUGUGCUGGGAUGGAAUCCUAGGUCAGGGUGCUGAGGCUUCUCACCAGCAGGCCGAGAACUGGAGCCCAGCCCAAUUGAAUACAAACCCAGUAAAGCACACUGUACAUUCCCCAUUCCAACAUCAAAGGGGGAAAAUGCGUCUGGAUGCAUGUAAACACACUGAAAACCAAGGACAGUGCAGUCACCUGUACAUUCCAAGAGCUCCUAUGCAGGAUAGGGGCACAAGUCACAUCAAAGAACGGCAAAUUUCUUCACUGUCGCCAUGGGAAAAAGAAAGAUGCGGUAGAGGAUGGGUGGGGGAAGAUGAGUUUCAACUCAGAAUUUCAACACCACUUCUUUGUUUCGCUAAACUGUCCUGCAGCGUAAACAGUCCAUUGUUUUUCAGCAAUAUUAACAAGACUUCAACUGUGAGAUGAGAGGCCUGAUGCACUAUGCAGGCACGGACUGUUGAAAUUAGCUGCAACACGGGGUGGGGGUGGGGUGGGGGGCAGAGAUGAGGUGUGGAGGUUUAGGUGUGUUUGAAGAGCAGCCCCUGGGGAACUGUGCAUGCAGGCAGGUAGUAUGAGAGGCCCAGGCGUUGCCAGGAAACCAAAGCAUGGGGGUGGGUGAAGUAAGAGCCAGGGAAGAGAAGUUCAUCGAUGCUGUGUUGCUGAGAGGAUUACUGCUGAGAUGGCUCAGUCCUGCUGGGGACAAUCUGACAAGCUGCUAGAGCCUGCUUCGGAAUAGCCCACUGGGAGCCUGGGAAGCUAGUACCUAUAGCUGCCUAUUUGUGAUCAUGGGUUGAUAAAUGGCACUGGGACUUUAAGCCCCAAUGAAAGCACUUGGGCCUGAGGCAAGGCUGGCCAAGGUGACCAGCUACAGAAGAGGCAGGUGACCUUAGAGUGGGAGGCUGUUUUGUAUAAGAUAAACAGAAAGACUCUUUGGGAGAGAGGUUACAAAAUAUUGGCUAUAGGACGCCAACUCUAGGCUCUAAAUAUUCAUUCAAAUCUGCCACAUGCAUCAACUCCCUACAUCUUUGGAAGAGGGCAGCAAAAUAAUACUAGAAACGUGCCUACAUCCCAAGUCACAGUCCCUGAAGACCUGAGGAGCCAAGAGGCUGAUGAGGAGCUAGACAGUCAGAGAUGAAAGACCCGGAUGCAUCUGCAAUGGUUCUCAAUCCUCUUCCCAUCUCAGGGGUUACUGAUGGAGCAAGUCUAUUUUAACUUUACAUCUACUGCAGCCCCUUCUCCUCUUCAGUGCAGCCAGGGCAGCAGCAGCGAGAGUGAGCUGAGUAACACACCGCCUGCCCUCCCUCCCGUGUGUCCUCUGCACCUUGCCCGCUCUCAUUUGAUACUUGCCAUCUCCUACCUUCAACCGAGCCCAUAAAAAUCUUUAAAUAAAUGGCCACUUUCUACCA
rnacentral:lncRNA from 1 species